GACGAACGCUGGCGGCGUGCUUAACACAUGCAAGUCGAACGAAGAGCGACGGAAGCUUGCUUCUAUCAAUCUUAGUGGCGAACGGGUGAGUAACGCGUAAUCAACCUGCCCUUCAGAGGGGGACAACAGUUGGAAACGACUGCUAAUACCGCAUACGAUCUAACCUCGGCAUCGAGGAUAGAUGAAAGGUGGCCUCUACAUGUAAGCUAUCACUGAAGGAGGGGAUUGCGUCUGAUUAGCUAGUUGGAGGGGUAACGGCCCACCAAGGCGAUGAUCAGUAGCCGGUCUGAGAGGAUGAACGGCCACAUUGGGACUGAGACACGGCCCAGACGCCUACGGGAGGCAGCAGUGGGGAAUCUUCCGCAAUGGACGAAAGUCUGACGGAGCAACGCCGCGUGAGUGAUGACGGCCUUCGGGUUGUAAAGCUCGGUUAAUCGGGACGAAAGGCCUUCUUGCGAAUAGUGAGAAGGAUUGACGGUACCGGAAUAGAAAGCCACGGCUAACUACGUG
rnacentral:rRNA from 1 species